GUGCCAUUAUGAGACCUCCCAUGUUGAACCAUACGCAGUGCAGCUAAUGUCUGCCAAUACGCUUAGCCUCUUACCUUACUGUAGAAACUCCCUUAAUGGAAUAGGGCGUGUUGACAUACCAUCCACCAACCAAAUGGAUACUGCUUGGUGAAUCUUCUUGCUGUAACAGGAGGCUACCUGGCAACUGCAGAGAUAUGUGGGAUACAAAGAAUAAUCUGACUGCCUCCUGAGAAGUCUGCUUGGUGCAUAGGAUACUUGCUGGCCAGAGGAGCUCCACCCAGCUGGCAAGAGUCUCUGGUUUGUGAGUUGAGGGGAAAGAGGAGGGGGAGAAGAAACUAAUGGAGAGAAGGGUAGUUAAUAGAGCUACUUGCUGUGGUAGGGCACUGUUGUUGCCUGCCACUUUAAGGGCAGUCGGGCAGCUGCCAGGUGCCUGAUGGCAGCAGCCAUUUUGGGAGCCUGCUGCCAGAGUAGGUGAGACCAUUGCUUAGCUGAGCUGCAGCAGAAACAACCCAGGAGUGUUCCUCCUGUGAGUCCUGCUCCUCCCAGCUCCCUUGGGCUGAUGUAACAUCUGUUGGCAGACUUCAAGCUCUCCAGGGCCAAGAUGGUGUCUUUUCUGCCCCAACUCAUGAAGCUGCACUGAUCCUAGUGGCACUGGAACUGCCCUUCUGGAAAACGACGGGAGAAACCAGGGAG